UACGUAGGGGGCAAGCGUUGUCCGGAUUUAUUGGGCGUAAAGAGCGUGUAGGCGGCCAAGCAGGUCCGCUGUGAAAACUCGAGGCUCAACCUCGAGACGUCGGUGGAAACCGUUUGGCUAGAGUCCGGAAGAGGAGAGUGGAAUUCCCGGUGUAGCGGUGAAAUGCGCAGAUAUCGGGAAGAACACCCGUGGCGAAGGCGGCUCUCUGGGACGUUACUGACACUGAGGCGCGAAAGCGUGGGGAGCGAACAGG
rnacentral:rRNA from 1 species